rnacentral:lncRNA from 1 species
UUAUGUGUGGAUAAUGAUUCAUGUGAUGACCCAUAGGUAUAUAUGUUUAGCCAUAUUGAUAAUAUAUACUGGGUAGAUUUUUGGAUAAAUAUAGAGGGCAGAGGAUAUAAAUAAGCCUUCCAACUAAUCUUUAUGGUAAAUUUUUUGGUUAUCAUAAAUUAUAUCUGUUAUGGUGUAGAGAGAACUUCUUUAGUCUCACAUCGGUUAUGAGUCAAGAGGAAAUAUAGCUUAUAUGGAUUGGAACCUUCCCUCCCAACGUAAGGCGCC